GGGAGAGAAUAUGACUUCAGGAUAACUGAAGAAGUCAUUCAAGUGAUUUCAGGAUCAAACCAUGAAGAUCUUGUAAUUUUGAUUCCCAGGAAAGAAGUUGCUUUGAGGCUAGCUGGGGUUUUGUUGUUAUUGUUUUUUUGUUUUUUUUUUUAAUGCUGAAAAAAUGUUAACUUUUUUUUCUAGAAUUUAUUAGACCCUGAAGAAGGCAACUUCUAAAAAGCUUUAAAUUCUCUUUCAGUGUUUUAAGAGCCUGAGACUAUCCUGACCACAUGCAGAGCUUUGAAAACCCAGUUAUGAGUUCUAUGAACUGAAAUAUCUUUUUUGUUCUAGAAAAACCUGAAAAGUUAUUCAAUAAGUUUUAGGAAUCCACUGUAAGUUCUUUGAGGGCAGAGACAAUUUCAUCUUUAUACUUGACUUGAUAACCUCUAUAGUGUGUCACUCUGUUUUGAUGUGCAAUUCCAUCCCUGCAGGGAAUUUCUGGUGCAAAAAUUCCUUCUACCAAUUCAGAUCAGCAAUUUAUCUGAACCUUAAAUUUAUAAAGAGUUGCCUGGACAUUGAGAAGUUAAGUGAUCUGCCUGUGGUCCCCCAGGUAAUAUGUGUCCAAGACAGGAUGUAAAAACCAUGUUUUCCUGUCUCCAAAGUAUCCAGCACACCUUUCUUUUGCUCCAUAGUAGGAAUUAAAUAAAUUUGUAUAUAUGAAAAAAGAGAUGAGGUGACAAAAACCUUGGUUCUGUGUCAUGGAUGAAGAAAUACACGGGAUGAUGCUUUUUUCUUUUUUUUAAUCAAGCCUCUUCCAGUGAUGGUCUUGGGCUGGGUGAGAGAAGGUUUCUAAAAUGAAAUAUUACAAUGGAUGGGAGCCAUUUGAAAUUGAACUAGCAUUAAGUAGAACCCUUUGAUAAUCCAAAAUGAGGCCAGGAUCAACCACUCAGGCUUAGACAAAAAUCAAGCGACUCAGGUUUGUCUCAUCUGUAGAAUCUCAUAAAUUGGAAAUUGAUGUCACUGAGUCUGAAAACAAAAUAACCUGGUUUGAUGUUUCUCCCAAGAACUUUCUUAUCCCCAGAACAUCCUGCCCAACCAGUUCUCUCAGUCCCUAUGGCUCAACCAGCAUUUGGCAGUCGUUUAUUGGUACAUCAACCCCUGUUCCUUGAUUUUUUUUUUUAAAUCACCUCUUGGGGGCAACUCGCUGUGCUGGAAUCUUUUGUUUUAAAAAGAGAGGGUCAGAGAGGAAAGUGAUCAACUCCUUUAUAAAGUGACCUCUCCAAGCGUAACCAUCUUUCCAUCCCUGGCUUCUGGCUAAGUCAUCUAAUUUUUUCAUACCAAGUGGUCUUUUUAGCUAUUCUUGUUACCUGCCCAGACACACAGGCUCCCUCCCUGCCUUUUUUCAUCCAGGAUUUUAUUUUUUAUUUAAAAUCAUAGAUUUAUCUGUAAGAAAUGACCAGCAGGAUGAAUACAGAGAGGCUUGGAGAGACUUACAUGAACUGAUGCUAAGUGAAAUGAGCAGAACCAGGAGAUCAUUAUAUACCUCAACAACGAUACUGUAUGAGGAUGUAUUCUGAUGGAAGAUCUAACUCAGUUUCAAUUGAUCAAGGAUGGACAGAAGCAGCUACACCCAAAGAAAGAACACUGGGAAAUGAACGUAAACUGCAUUUUUGUCUUUCUUCCCAGGUUAUUUUUACCUUCUGAAUCCAAUUCUCCCUGUGCAACAAGAGAACUGUUUGGUUCUGCACACAUAUAUUGUAUCUAAGAUCUACUGUAACCUCUUUAACAUAUAUAGGACUGCUUGCCAUCCGGGGGAGGGGGUAGAGGGAGGGAGGGAAAAAUCGGAACAGAAGUGAGUGCAAGGGAUAAUGUAAAAAAUUACCCUGGCAUGGGUUCUGUCAAUAAAAAGUUAUUAUAAUAAAAAUAAAAAAAUAAAAUCAUAGAGUUAGUGAGAAGAGCCAUCUGCAUCCAGAAAGAAGCCCGUGAGACUGAAUUUUUUUUUUUUUCCUGAGGCAAUUGGGAUUUAAGUGAUCCAGAGUCACACAGCUAAGUAAGUGUUAAGUGUCUGAGGCCAGAUUUAAACUCAGGUUCUCCUGACUCCAGGACCAGUGUCUAUGCACUGACCCCACCUCCUUUUUAUUCUUCAAACAAGACACUCCAUCCUUUGGACUCUGUGCAUAAUAACUAGCUGUCCCUCCCACAUGGAAUGGUUUCUUUCUUCACUUCUGCCCCCUGGCAUCCUUCAAGUCCCAGCUAAAGUCCCACCUCCUACAAGAAGCCUUUUCCAAUGCUGUAGAGGGUCACAGACAGUGGGGGAACUCUCAGUGAGGUAUAAGACCCUUCAGCCCAGAGGGAACCUGCUGACAAUGUCUGGUUCGGCUCCCUAUCUCCCCUAAGGGCUCUGGGUCUUCCUGAAAAGUCAGGGGGCGGUGAUAACCUGUGUGGUGAUUGAAGCAGAGUGAUAGCAGGUGGCAAAGAGACAUCUACACACAAUAGCAAGUUGUUCAUGUGGUCCCACGUGCACAGUAUAUAGUUAGUGCAAGCUCAGUGUUGCUUUGGUUACAUAAGGGUAUGAGGGCACAUAAGGGUGAAAGAACUGGCAAAAAAUGGACUCCAUAUUUUAACCAUCCUCUGGUGUCCUGCUUCAUCACUCCUCCACUAAAACAGUAUAUUUUUUCACCCCAGCACGGGGGCUCUAGAAAGCAGGACACAACACAAUGGCUUUUAAUUCCAGUGCUUUCCUUCUGUGGAUCAUUUCCUACUUGCCCUAUAUUUAGGCCAUUUGUACAUAGUUUUUUGCAUUGUGUCUUCUUCAUUAGAUUCUGAGCAGCUUGAGAACAAAGAAUGUUUUUUGCCAUUCUUUGUAUCCCAGGUAUUUAGCACAAUUCCUAGCACAUAAUGUUAAAGAGAAGUAAAGAACCUGGGAUUCUAGAGAGAAAGGCAGCUCUAUCGAGGGAUAAAAGAGAAGAUGGAGGUGUCAUCCAUAUGACAUUGUUCAGCGCUCCUGCUUUACCAAAUAGCCCAUCCCACACACCCAAUUCCACCCUUGCCUGGCUUCUUGGCCACCAGUUCUUUUCAUCGCUUGCAAUAUUGAAUAUGGGAGAUCUGAGUUUAGAAUGCUGUGUAUAAUUCUACUAAAGCUUUCUUGAAGAAACCCUACCUUAUUCUGCUCUCUCAUAAUUCAGAGUAUUAAGAGAUAGAAGGAACUUUAUAGGUCAUUCAAUUUAAUUUCCUCUUUUUGCAGAUAUAGAAAUUGAGGCCCAAAGAGAAGAAAUUAUUCCUAAAGACUUACCCACAUUUAGCUAUUGAUAAAUUUGGGGCUAGAGCCCCUACCUUCUGAUUCUUGAAAAUAACUUUUUUGGCUGGGUUUGGCACUUAGAUUGUAUGAGGUCCUUGUCUCUUAUUGUAUUCCCUCCCACAUUUCACUGUUACUCUACUUCCAAAUCAAGACAGAUUGUUAUCUGGUGUUCUGAAGGACACUGUUCUCUGAUGCGGCCCAGCAAACUAUUUAGUUGCAAGUGUUCCCACCAGGGCUAUGCAAUGUCCAAGGUGGCAACUGGGAGGCAAGAGACAAAGAUUUUAAGAAUUAUUUAACUCAACACUCAUUUUCCAUAUGAAAACACUGUAACUGAGAGGUGAGGUCACUUUCUCAAAGUUAAAUGGGAUAAUAAGAAACCAAACUACAUAAGAUUCAAGUUCAACUUUUUUUGACUCCAAAUACAAGGAGGAGAAAGAAAAAAAACUCCCAGUGUAGCUGGGAGUAGUAGAGACAAUAUUACCUUAGCAACUACUCAGCAAAUUAAAUCAACAUGCAUUUAUUAAAUAUUGUAGUUGUGAUAUAAUGGUAAGAAUAUUGGACUUGGAGUAGGAAGACCAGUUUGAAUACUGGCUCGGUCACUUAACUGGCUAACUUCAGUUUCCUCAUCUAUAAAAUGGAGAGGAAACAGCUUAUCUUAAGAAGUUAUGAGAAUAAUAUGUUAAUGUGCUUUGUAAAGUUUAACAUACUACAUAAAUGUCAGUAAUUAUGAUGUGCACAGAGGGGAUUGCCAAAUUGAACAAGACAAAAUCCCCUGGGAACUACAAAUACCACAGAUUGAAGUCCCAAUCUCAGUUCUUGGAGGAGUGAGAGAUUCAGCUUUCAACAUAGAGAGAAACUGGACAUGACACAGGUACAGAAGGAUCAUUAUCAUUCAGUAGGCCAGAUCAGGCCUGGAUAUGUAACAUUUUCUUGGGUGGAAUUAACUAAAUGAAGACACUCUCAUGGGAAUAUAGCCUUAAAAAAAAAAAAAAAAAAGGUUGCAGGUGUUUGUCCCUUCUUGUUUCCCACCACUUCUUAAUUAGCACUUAAUACUUCUUUUUAAAGGUGAUGUUGCCUUUUCAUUCUCAUAUCUGAGGAUAUCUGCUUGUAUAGCAGUUCUCUAGGAAAAUUUAAAUUAAGUUUAUUAUUAUUGACCUGUAUUCUUUUAUUUCUAAUUUAGAUUUCACUAUUAGAAUAUAAUCCUAGACUCCCCCAAAUAAUGGGAGAAAAGGCCAGCUGGGGCUUGGGCUUCUGUGUUCAGGGUAUUUAAUCUUGUGUUUUGCAGUUUUUACUUGGCACUUCUUUAUUGACAAAAACCUUGUCAGAUGGAAGAUGCUCUUUCUCACGAGAUUGUAAAUAAACCCCGUUUUUGCUUCUUACUCAGAGAGUCUUUGUUUUUGUGGUCACUACUAUCCCACACAUUCUUAAGAAUAACAACAAAAAAAAUUUUUUUAAUGAGCAUAUAAAAAGAGUGUAACUUUGAACCAUGAUGACAUAAGAACACACAUUAAAAAGAAUGUGAACCUUCCAACCACUUAGUUACCUUGGGAAGCCACCUGACUACUCCUUUUGCUUGAAGAACAACUUUUUUUCCCAAUGGCCUUCAGAACCCCCAGAAUAGUCUUUGCAAUAUUCUCUGUGGUGGCAAACUUAGAAAUAAUAACAGGUCUUAUUUUUGCCUAGCCCAAAGGCAUUCAAGAGUGAAGUCUGGUGAAUGUGCUGGAUGACCAUGCUGAGAAACACUUUUAGGUGAAAAUUGAGGUGUGAAAUUUGAAUAGCUACAAAAGCAAGCCCCAAGGAAUUUCAGAAACAUUUGAAACACUAGUACCUCCAUUGCAAUUAGUGUUUUCUUCACUAAAAUGUAAGCUCCUUGAGGAAGGAUUUUGCUUUUUUUUUUUUUUUUUUUUUUGCUUAUAUUUAUAUUCCCAGAGCUAAAAAUAGUAUUAGGCACUUAAUAAGCGAUUAAAUCAAUACUUUUUGCCUAUGCGCCUCUGGAUGUAACUACUUAAAAAGAGACUUAAUUAGGUGUGUAUAGUCUGAAACAUGUGUAAAAAAGAAAAAGGCUCAUUUUUCUCAUUACACCUUACACUUAGCUAAAAGGAACGGUUAAAAUGAGGCACAAGAGAGCCCUAUUAUGUCUGUCAACAGGGCCUUGGGUCUGCUCUGUGAGGUAGAGGGGGAAAUGUGAGAAGCUAACAAGCUUUGAUUCCAUUGAUAAUGGGAUCAAACAACAAUGUACUAAUAAUUUGACUCAAGAGGCCACUUAUAUGAUAAAUUGAAUAACUUCCCAACAAUUCAAACCUGAAGCAAGAUAAAAAUGACUCAUAGUCUUGUGGUUAGCAGGUUUAAAAAAAAAAAAACUCUAAAAACAAACCAGAGAUUAACUAGAUGGAUUAAGAAGAGGACAGAAUUAGAAUAAAGAAGAAAAAGCAGCAACAUUUGCUCAAGUCAAAUCCUGAUGCUGGGCCAAAAUUGAAUGUCAAAAGAGAAAUUGAUCUAAAAUGAAUAUGGACCAAAAAAAAAAAAAAAAAAAAAAAAGUUUUUUUUUUUGUUUUUUUUUAAAGAAAACCUUAAAAGUUACUGUGUCUCAAUUCCUUUGAAACCCUUUUGUUGAGAAUUAGGUCAGUAAAAUACUCCUUGGCACAGAGUCCUGGGAGCUGUUUAUUUUUGCUCUGAUGAGAUAAUAUCAGGACUGAUCUUGCCGUUCUCUCCCUCAAUGGUCCACUGUUAAAGGUGAAUGAACACUUUCUGGGGACCCUUUAUUCUGAUGGCCCAAUUUAGUUAUACCUCUCUUGAGGCUGCCCUGAAACACGUCCAUUCCGAUGCAAAAUUGUUCAUUUCUUGGCCUGACCCUGACAGUCAGAAGUCAUUGAAGUCCAAUGGUGCCCUCUUGCGGUUCCAAUGUGCUCACCUCAUCCCUGUGCAGAUUUCCAUGAGAAAAUUACUAAACUCAUUACAUAGGUUUGCAAAGACAAAGUCGCUUUAAUGAAUUGUUGCAGCUAAAGGACUCUCAACACUUCCACAUUACAGGGAUAGGAAAUUACUUAUCAGGAAGGGCCCCUUCACUAAUUAGGAUCACUGAUUUAGAACUGGAAGAGACUUCAAAGCCAUCGAGAAGCCCAAAGGUCACAAAGAUAGUCCAUCACAGAGAAGAAAUGAUUCCAGGUCCUCCUCUCCAAAGCCAGCAGCUUUUCCCCUGUGCCAAGCAGAGACUUGCAGCGCCUUUUCUUCCUGCACUGCAGUUUCAGACAGUUAAAUUCAGAAAAACACAAAAGAACAGGGCUGGAAGGGACCUUAGAGAUCAUCUAUUCUCAUUCCUUCAGGAAUCAGAUCACUGAAACCCAGGGCAAUGAAGUAAUUUUUCAAUGUCCUUAGAACUGGGGCAAAAGUUACAUUAGAGCCUAUGUAUCCUUUCUUCCUUUCUUUUUUUAAUAUAAAGUUUUUUUUAUUUUCAAACAUAUGUAUGGAUAAUUUUCAACAUUCACUCUUGCAAAACCUUGGAUUCCAAAUUUUUUUCUCUCCCUUCCCCCACCCUCUCCCAUAGAGAAUAAUCCAAUAUAUGUAACACAUGUGCAAUUCUUCUAUACAUAUUUCCACAAUUAUCAUGCUGCACAAGAAAAAUCAGAUCAAAAAGGAAAAAAUGAGAAAGAAAACAAAAUGCAAGCAAACAACAAAAUAAAGUGAAAAUACUAUGCUAUCUAUGAUCCAUACUCAGUCCCUAUGGUCCUCUCUCUGGAUGCAGAUGGCUCUCUCCAUCACCAGACCAUUGGAACUAGCCUAGGUUUUCUUCUGAAAACCUUAAUUUCCUUACUUGCUGAUUAAGAAAAAACAAAGUGAGGUUAGAUGACUUUUCCAAGGUCACAAGGUAAAUGUACUUAAAUUGACACCAUUUUUUCCCUUGAGGCAACUGGGGUUGAGUGACUUGCCCAGGGUCACACAGCCAGGAUGUGUUAUGUGUCUGAGGCCAGAUUUGAACUCAGUUUCUCCUGACUUCAGGGCUGGUGCUCCAUCCACUGCACUGCCUAGCUGCCUGACAUCAACUUUUGAUUGUAAUUUUGCUUGAGAUAAGUUCCAGUUUUGAAAUGAAGACAUGAAAACAGCAUUUAAAUUGGGAGUUUCCAAGUUGAAAUGACCUAAGGUUCCAUGCAGCAGUUUUCACUGAUUGAGUCAGGGGCAGAACAGAGCAAAAGACAUCUUUUUCUAGGAGAAACUUGUCACAGAACUAGGGUUGAGGUUUUUCUGAAUGACUUUCACAAGGCCACUCAAUUGCAAUGCACAGGCUUCUAGCCUCAGUAUUUCCCCAAUUUUGGUGCCCAAACUUGGAAAUUCUUUUUAGAGAAACAACUUUUCUCUAGAUAUCCAAAUCACUUUCUAGUACAAUGAUUAUGAUCCCAGACUUUUCCCUUCUCUUUACUACCUUCCCCUUCAAAGCCCAAUGCCUAGAAUCCAACAUUGGGCAAGGAACAAAACAGAACAUGGGAUUUGUAUGUUGUGGUACAGGCCUUCCAUUUAUUUUGCUUAGAACCGCCCCCUUAGUACAAACUUAAGACACUAUAGAAUCAACAGUAGUCCUAAUAUAGCUUUUCCAAACAGCUUCAAGAUUUACUAAUAUUUCCAACAGCUUUCUAAAGAAAUUAAUGUUAACCCUUUCUUCCCUCCAGGGAUUUUUUAUAUGAAGCAAUUUAAAGGUUCACUGCUUCUUGUGUUGCUCAUGAAGCAGGAGAGAAAUAAAAUGAGCACAGUAGUCAGAUGCUUGAGUGAAGUUGUAGAAGAUAAUUAAGAUAGUUAAGGUAGUCAUUGGCUGCUACUGGACGGGCACUGAGAUGGGUCACUGAAUCAAUGGGCAGUAGCAAUCUGUUUCCUCUGGGAUACAGAGAAUAAGGAAUGAGGUUUAGGUCAAGAAAAUACCCAUGGCUUCCAUGAAACACUUCAUUUCACCCUUAUAUUGGCUCAUCAGAAAUGACUAUUCAUCCUGAAAUGGACUGAAAAUGAAUUUUGAAAAAGUUUCAUUUAAUCAGAGUCAGCACAACAUUAGAAAAUCCUAGUGUAAACAUUUCAUAAAAUAUUUAUUGGAGUGCAGUCACAAAUUAUACUUCUUGUUCCAGUGUAUAAAUACGCCUCAGUGUCUCUAGUACAGAUCAAGAAAAAAUUCUAACUGUGGUAAUACAAAGUGAAGGGUGCACUUGAGAUUUUAAAAAAACAAUAAAUUACACUUUGAGAACUAUCACCAAGCUUUACAUACAUAAAAAGUAAACAUAACAUAGUUAAAUUCUGAUAACAGUCUAAAAUGUCAAGUUGAAGAUAAAAAGGACAGGGAGUCAGUCCAUUUGUAAAAACCUGGCUACAACAAAGUCAUUAUGACAGAAGGAAAAUGACAAAUUACAUGGAUUAGGGACUUGUAAACUAUGUUCUCUUUUCUUGAGGCUUCCACUACCGGGGAAGUUUGGGAUAAAAUUCAACUCUGCUAUUUGUCUAUAUGGCAAAUUCAGCAUUCUACCACUUACACAAAGCUUGAUAGCAGGCAACAAGUCAGGUUUUUGUAGAGAAAGAAGAAUCAGAGUUGCUGAAUACACUUCUAAUCAUUCAAGAACUAUUGUUUCAAAUUCCAAAGAAGGAAAGGGAGAAGAGGAAAAUUAUUAUAUUAAAUGUGUAUCCUUUCAUCUGCUUGUAUCUGGAUUCCCAGCAUCUCAAAAGAUCUAGGGAAGGCUGAAUAGGACAAUGAGAUCAAUGGAAGCCAAAGAAUUUUAAAGCUUGAAGGGACCUUGAAUACUGUUCAAUCAUACUCCUUUAUUUUACAAACAAGGAAAAUGAGACCCAAUAUGGUUAAGUGUAUUAAAGGCCUAAAAUCACCCUGCUAGUUAGUGGCACAGUUCUGACUAUAAUUCAAGUCUCUGGACCAUAAUUUGAGUAGUAUUGUGCUCUUUGCAUUAUAUUGCAUUGCCAACUGCUUCAAGAACAAUUCUCCACUUCUUCCUAAAGACAAAUGGUUUCUUUAAUAAUUUUGUUUCUGUAGGUUUCUCAUGUACACAUUAGAUUUUUCUAUCUAUCCAAGUAGAAGCCAAUUAGAUGUUUCUUCACAACAAGACCUCGGGGUGACAAGAAACUGGGCACUUAAGAAAUACAUGGGAUCAGUGCUCUGAGUAUAAAAAACAGCUUUAGCCUUUUUCCACUUGGUUAUUCACACAAUAAUUAGGUUGUAUCAAAAGAAAAGGAAGAGUAGGGAUGCAAUCCUGAAAGGAGAGUACUUACAGAAAGCAAUACCUUAAAAAACAACAACAACAACAACAAAAGAAAACCCAGUCCUUCAAAAACAAUCUCAGAUUUUAGAAAAGGGUAGUGGAAUACAAAGCAGGUUCAAAAAGCAAUGUAUGGAUCCUUCUAACCAACUGUGUUCCCAAUAAGUUGACACUGUAAAAAUACUGUGCCCUUUGUUUAUGAAGGUUAAACUAGUUACUCAUCAAAGAUAAGGCAUUGUUUUGAGUUGCUUUUAGAUGAAGAGCACAGCACAUGAAACAGAAACCUACAAAUCUUAUUUUUAAGUACUAAUUUCAACCUUUUCCCCUUCCUCUGGCUAUUAAAUAGAAAGUGGAAACACCAACUUUGUGGAGCAAGCAAGGGUCCACAGUAAAGUGAUAUACUAGGUGCUAAACUGUAAAAGAAUCAACAAGGGAGAUAACAAUAGAAAAAAAGAAAAGCAAAUUAGUCAUCCCUAUACAGGAUAAUCAGACCCCUGAAUAAAAGCUUCAUUUUAUAUAUAUAUAUAUAUAUAUAUAUAUUUUUUUUUUAAAUUUAAGCUGUACAUAACAUAGAUGUUAUUCUUUUUUUCUUCUUUGUAUAUGGAAAUUAUCACAUUAGUGGCUGUACAAGUAUAUAGUUUUAAAAAAAAGUUUCCACUCCUUCUGUGUAUAACAAAUAAGUAUAGUCAAGCAAACCAAAUUCACACAUCGGCAUGUUUGAAAAUGUAUGUCUCAUUUUGCAUCUGUACUAGAAGGUGGGAAGUAUAUUUCCUUAUUAGCUUCCUGGAGUCAGAAUUGAUCUGACUCCAGAUUAUUAUAUUAAGAAAUCUAAAAAAUUUAAAAGCUGUAUUUCUUUGAACAUUUUUUAAAUCAUAUAAAUUGUUCUUCUGGUUUUGUUUGCUACACUUUGUAUGAGCAUCAUUUGAUACAAAUUUUCUCAGAAUCUAUUCUCUGGAAUUACCUAAAGCACCAUAAUAUUCCAUUCUAUUAAUAUAUUUGAAAAAGAACUUUACAAGUCUUUAAUAAUCUUAAAUUGGUACAUGAAUUUCUUAUGCUUCCAUAUUGCUAUUUUUAGAAAGCUCUUCCUUCCUCAUCAGAAUUAUUUGCAUAGUUAGAAUUUCAUUCAUGAACAUUUCUCAUCCAAUUUAGGCAGAUUUUAUCUGUAGAAUUGUUUGCCUCAGGACCUCCCUGUACUUUUCUGACCUCUUUCUGAACAUCUAAGGCAAAUGUUUUUAAUGUGGGGAGGAGGAAGAAAAUCCAAGAACUUUUAAAAAUAUCUUGUUAACUAUAUUUCAAUAUAAUUAGUUUCCUUUGUAAUCCUAUGCAUCUAAAGGCAUUCUGAGAAAAGAUCCAUAAGUUUGGCCAAAUUGCCAAAGGGCAGUGAAUUUGCUUUGCUUAACUAUAAUUACUUGUUAUACACAGAAGGGGUGAAAACUUUUUUUUUUUUAAACUGUGUACUUCUACAGCCACCAAUGUAAUAAUUUUCAUAUACAAAAAACAAAAGAGAUUAACAUCUAAAACUGAGAUUAUAAAUUAUGUACAGCUUGAAUUUUAAAAAAUUAUAUAAUAAAUUAACAUGGUAAUUAUAAAACAAAUUGUUUCACUGUCUGCUUCUGAACUUCCUUUCAUUUUUUCUGUAGCUACGCGUUUCAUUAAUUUUUCCCCUUUUGCCACAACUAUUCCUUUUCCAUAUAAUUCUUCCCCAUAGCAACAAAGAUGAACCUAAAUGCUUUCCCUACUAGAGGGAGCAGAAGGUGGGAACUGGGACAGAGAGUAGUAAUGGUGAUGCAAAAAGGAAAGAACAUCAAAUGACACAUUAAAAUAUAUAGAUUAGAACAAAAGGAAUUUCAGGACACAUUGACAAGCAGGACAGCAUUAGUACAAACAUUAAAAUUAAUGUGUUUUCUUUAAGCUUGUAAUAGAGUCACAAUUUCAUAUACAAUAUUUUCAUUUUCUUUAUAUAUGGAAAUGUCUACGUCAAGGUCAUUUUUUAAAAAGUCAUGAAAGGCAACAGGAAGGCAGAUACAAAAAUGGCUACAAGAGUAGCAAGUUUCUAAAAAAGCAUAGUAUCCAACAGUAUGAUAUUUAGAUUGACCAAAGGUUAACAAACAAUGUUAAGAUUUUUUUUUAAAAAAAGGGUUGUUUUUUUUUUUUUUUUUUUUUUUUUAUCUAUAGUGGGAAUAAAAAGAAGACUGGAGCCAAUGCAACAAUAAAGGAGAAUAAUCUUUUGGUAGCAAAGGACAAAAUGCUUACUAGCAUGUGGAACAACCAGGAUAAGUGAUGAUACAGUUAAGAGAGCACUUAACUGAUCUUAAUGAGUUCAGGAAAGAAGCCCCAAAGGAAUCACUUCACAAAGAUGUACUUUUGGCCAGUUGAAAACUGGGAGCUGUGAUUGCUGAAAUAUGCUCAGUGAUUUUUGAAAAAUUGUGAAUGGGUAAGAGGGCAGGCCAGGAUAUGGACAAAUAUCCCAUCUACCAUAAAAGGAGAGAGAGUCUUUAAACUUUAAAUUGGAUUGUAAACUUGAUUUUGGUUGUUAGCAAAACUCUAGGAUGAAUUAUAAAAGAGAAGGUUUCUAAAAUUUAAAAGAGGUUGGAUUGCAAUAGAAACAUUUAUUUAAUGUCUCCUGCACUGUACUGCUUUUCAAAUAUUAUCUUAUUUGAUCCUCACAGUCAUGUAGGCACUAUUAUUAUCUCCAUUUAAAAUAAAGGAAACCGAGGCAGACAGAGGUUAAAUGAACUGCCCAAGGUCAUAAAUCUGGUGAUUGCCUGGGGCUGAAUUUAAAGAGUCUAUCUCUGAACUUUUUUUUCUAUUUUCUUCUACACAUAAGUAUUUCAUUAACUUUUUUUUGGUUUGUUUUUGCCAAAACCAUUAUAAUCCCCUACCCCAUAUAAUUCUUCCCUAUCUCAAAUAAAGCAAAGUAAAUGCACUGCCUGUUGGGGAUGGAGGCACUGGUAACAAUGAUGAUAUAAAAAAAUAAAAGAAUAUCAACGAAACACUAAAAUGUAUAGGGCUCAUAACACUCAAAUGGGCAAAGUUGAAGAUGCUACUGAAGUGUUCAUACAAAAAAAAUAUUUUCAGACCUCAGCAGAUUACAACCUUUGUACGAUUCGAUAAUAUAUAAAGCUACUUUUUUUUUUAAAAAAGCUCAGAUUUUUAAGAAUAGUAUAAUAUCUGUCAGACUGGCUAAGUUGGCCAGAAAGGAAAAUGACAAAUUCUGAAAAGAAUAUGGAAAAGCAGGGACACUAAUAUGCUGUUGGAGAAACAGCAUUCUGUCCAAUCAUUCUGGAGAAUUCCAAAAGCUCUAAAAACUAUGCAGACUCUGACCCAGCAACAGCAAUACUAGAUCUAUGUCACAAAGAGAUCAAAGAAAAAGGAAAAGGACCUAUACGUACAAAAGUAUAACAGCUGUUUUUAUGGUAAAAAAAAAAAAAUUACAAUCUGAGAAGAUGCCCAUUAAAAACAAGUUAUGGUAGAUUAAUACUUUAAUAUUAUGUGGUACUAUAAGAAAUGAUGAAGAGAAUGGUUUCAAAAAAAACCUGGGAAGACUUAUAUGAACUGUUGCAAAGUGAUGUGAGAAGAACCAGAAUAUUAGUAUGGUAAUAUAAAGAGAAUCAACUGUGAAAGCCUUAGGAACUCUUGGAAACACAAUGACAACAGCAAAUCCAAAGAAUUCAUAAUAAAACAUGCUACCCAGCUCUGGAUAGAGCUAGGUAAUGGAUUCAACAAGCAUAGUGAAUACUAAUUUUUUUUCUUCUUUUUCUUUUUGGACAUGGGAAUUUGUUAUAUAUGAUUAUAUAUUUGUAAUGGGUUUUAUUUUUCUUGUUUUCUCAAUGGAUGGAAUGGGGGAAAAGGUGGAAGAGAAUCAAACUGAAAAUAAAACUGAAAUAAAAAAAAAAGAAGAGGUUAGAUGCAAUGGUGUGGCUUUAAAUAAAUAGAAACAGUCACAGUUCCACCGUGACAUAUAUGGAAAAUUGUAUUAACUUCCAGAUGACAUAUUUUAGAACUUGCAACAUGACAAGAGACUAUGAUAUACAAGGAUUAACUGGAGAAACUAUAGAUCAAUACUUCCUAUCUACCAUAACUUGUUUUUAAUGGGCAUCUUCUCAGAUUGUAAUUUUUUUUUUUUACCAUAAAAACAGCUAUUAUACUUUUGUACGUAUAGGUCCUUUUUCUUUGAUCUCUUUGUGACAUAGAAACAUGGGGAGAUGUUCACUCCCAUAAAUUUCUAUGGAAAAUUUAGGGGCGUCAAGUAGAUAUUUUUUGUUCGAACAUUUAAGUCAUGAUUAACUCUUCAUGACCCCAUUUGGGGUUUUCUUAGCAGAGAUACUGAAGUGUUUUGUCAUUUCCAUCUCCAGCUCAUUAUACAGAUGAGGAAAUUGAGGCAAACAGGGUUAAGUAACUUGCCCAAGAUCACACAGCAACUAAUUGUCUAAGUCUAGACUUGGACUUAAGUCUAACAGACUCCAGGCAUGAAGCUCUAUUCAUUCCAUUGUCUAGCUGCCCCCAGCAAAAAGAUAAAAGAUUUUCAAAUAGAAAUAUAGAAAAAUAAAAGGAGUAGUCCAGAUAGGUAGAUUCCAGUUCCACAAAAAGGUGAGGAAACACAGUAAUCCAAAGUGGAAUGGGAUUCCUUGGGAGAUAGUUGAAUUUCUCUUAUUGAAGGUCUUUGAACAGAAGCUAGUUUCUGCUAGUACUUGAUGAAACUAUUUUAAAAGGGAUUCCUAUUCAAUCAUAUGUUGGAAUAGAGAAUUAUGGUAUCAACAUACUUAAGAUUGUAUGGUAUGACAGAAUGAGUCCUUGGACUAGAGUCAGAGGACAUAGGUUUGCUAUGUUACUUCUUCCCUGUGUGACCUUGGGCAAGUAACAGCCUCUAGGGGCUAUAAGUGAAAUGCUGGAUAUUCUUUUGGAAAUGAUUCCUUAGGAAAAAUCUGAAAUAAUCAACUGAGGUAAAGGGGUAGAUUUCCUCAAUUAUACAGGCUAUUACACAUUUUAGAAUAUUGAAAAUGAAUCAAAAUACUUACAUUUUUUUAUCUUUGUAUUUAAUGGGUGCAAAGCAAAAAGCAAAAGCCAAAUCUGCCAGCUGGAAUCUGUGGAAAACGCCAUGGCUGACAAAGCUUGCCUGCCAUUUUGACCAAUGACAGCCUCUUUGCUGUAAAUUACAUCCAAGUGGCCUUCCAAUUCAACAAUGCAAACACCUUCCUAAACUACCACAACCAAACUACUGCCUUAGCUCUUCUCUUCCUCUGAAUAUGAAAACAUGCUCUCAUUCCUUUUGAUUCAAAUUCGUUAAAAACUUCAUCAAUCCCUCUUUUUAGAGAUCUUAGAUAACUGUAUGGAAACCUCAGUUCAUUACAGAAACCUUAAUCAAUUAUUUUAGACUGAUACUUAGACAUUAUGAUGAUAAGAUUAUUUAAGGGGAAUCUAGUUUCCUGACUAGAAAUUAGUACUUGUGCUGAGGCCAAAUUUGAACUUGGGUCCUCCUAACUUCAGGGCUGGUGCUCUAUCCACUGUGCCACCUAGCUGUCCCUAAGUACUUGUUUUAAAAUGUUACUACCCUGUCUUCUCUUGCAAAUAUUCUCUUUUCACUCCUUUAUCUGAUGUCACUUUUUAUUACAAUCUUAUAUUCUAGAUAGUACCUGCAAAAUUACAUAAUUACUCCUUCCUUUGGGUCCACUUACAAUACAUAGUCCUCAUUUAUCAUGUCUAAAAGGCAAUGACUUUUCUCAUUACCAGAUACUUCUAUUAUCACAGGCCUUCAACCAUUGAACUCAUACUAUCAAGAGCUAGCAGCGGAGGGCAGCUAGGUGCCACAGUGGAUAGAGCACCAGUCCUGAAGUCAGUUCAAGUAAGGUCUCAGACACUUAACAGUUCCCCAGCUGUUUGACCCUGGACAAGUCACUUAACCCCAAUUGCCUGGGGGGUGAGGGGGGGGGGAAGAGGGGGAAGCUAGAAGCACAGUGAGUUGCUAUUCAAAGUGCACCCUCACUAACAAGAACAAUAAUGCCAAAAAUCCUGGUAGUAGCAGUUGAAAUUUCACUCCCCACCCAAUUAUCUCCCAAAAUAUUAAGUAUCUAUUAUAUGUAAGGCAUUAUAAAUCCACCUGCCAGGUCUAUUACUUCUUAGGGAUGCUAAUUAAGGAAUUGCACAUGAGAUGGAAAAUCUUAAAAAAAAAAAAAAAAAACUAUCGUCAAAUCUUUUGAUAGUUUGGAAUUCAAAUGAAUCCUAAGAAAGCCUCUAUCUUGACUAAGUAUGUAUGUGAAAAUGAAAAUAUAAGGAUUAGAUGUUUUCCCCCAGCUAUUCUGCUCCUGUGUUUUAAUGGAUUAUAUACAAUAAACUAUUUUAGUAAGAACAACAUGUGGGUUUGUUAAUAAAUCUGCUAUGUGACAUAGAGCAAGUCAAAUCAGAUCUCAGGCUUUAGUUUCCUAAUUUAUAAAGAAUGAACAAGAUGAGCUCUAAGGAACCUUCCAGCUGUAAUGUUCCAUGAGUCUAUAGAUGUAAAAUGUAGACUGUUUAACACAUCUCAGUUAUUUUAAAAGCACUGUGGUCUAUACCCAAAUUGCCACUAAUUUGCCCAAUUAAGCAUUCCUCAGGCUAAAUUCCAGAUUCCAGAGUAUGGCACCUAUUUUUUAGAAACCCUCUAAAUAAAUGAUAACUAUUGGCAAAUUUAUCCCUAAGCCAAGGUGGUUCCUUCACCAAAGCUACUUACAAUACUUAUACUGUCACUUACAAAACAGCUGGUAAAGAGAAGUGGUUGAUGGGAAGUGCCUUAUUUCUCCUAAAUAAAGGCAAUAUCUUAUGCAGUUCAAGACUGGAAUCCUAAACAUUCAGAUGCUACUGUUUGUUUAUUUAUAUACAUGCUGGUGGUAGAAGAGGGCACUUUAAACCAAAGCAUUCAAUGCUCUUUUAGGUUAAAUGGUACAAACCCAAAAGAUAUAUCCUUGCGCAGAAUAUUUUAGCAAAGCAGCUGAAAAGGAAACUUUCUAGAGUUGUAGAUUCAAAUACCAACAACAAUUACAAAAUUCAAGAGGCUGGCAACUAUUUUACUAAGAUUGUUUCCAGUUCUUUCACACUCCUUUCUCCCCACCCUCUUGCCCAGCCCUGCUGUGAUUGCUCUGAGAAGGCCAAGAGAGCCUUCAUUGUAAAGUGAAUGAGCCCUGCUGACUCCACAGUUAGGCAUGUACAGCCAUUAUCUGAUUUAGGAUUUAGUUUUUUGGCUCACAAGCCUGCCUGAAGUAGGUUUUCUUCUUUUGAUUGCUUUGUACAAACAACUGGGAGUGCCUGGGAAUCUUAGAAAAACACUGACAAAUUUCUUACUGAAAUGUCAGUUCAUUCCUAGAUUGGUAGUUCUUUCUAGAUAGGGCUUAGAAUAUAGGAGAUGCUUGCAUUAUUUUUUGAGCAACCACUAAUAUUCAACUAUUUAUAAAAAAAAGGCCUUUAAUCCAAAGUAGAUCUCAAAUUUCUAGUUUCCAGCCCACACGUUGUUAUUGUUCUCUAAGUGAACAAACUCUGAUUUCAUUUUAAAAUAGACCCAAAAAGGAGCACUGAUGGGUUUGUGGUCUCAUCAUCUUUCUCUGAGAAGCAACCAUGCUUCUUUCUCCUUAUUUCCCUGAGUUUGAGAGCAGAUCCCCCAAAGCAGCAAUGAUGGGUUAAAUAACCAGUAAAUUAAUUUGGUCUCUACUCUUGUCCUAGGGCCUACCUUGAGACUUUUAGGUAGAAUCUAUGAUCCCCUUUGCAAUUCUACCCCACCUCUGGAUAACACUGUGAUUACAACAGUACUAACAAUAAUAACAAGCAGCAUUGGUUCACUCUCCAGUACUAUACACCCAAGCAAUUCCUUACAUUGCCUUAAACUGAAUGAAGCAGGACAGGUGACACGAUCCAAGUGGUGGGUGCAUGAGAUUGGACUGAGGGGAAAUAUAUUUAUAAGCUGAAAGUAUUUACAGAUCUCUUUUAUGUAAACUGUCUGUGAGAUGAAUAUGCUCCUGUGUAAAGCAAUAGUAACAAGUAUAAGAAAUGUCCGCACCAGUUCUCCUGCAGACCGACCUACCCAGCCACAGGUGACAGCGACAACGCGUGCUAAACAAAAAGUACAUAUUGUUCAUUGUUCUUCAUGUUCAAAUUUGCGUAAGACCUGUGAGGAGAGGGCUGAGCGGCCUAGGAAGUGUCCUAUAGGCAUCUGCAAGUCUCUAUGCCCCCAAACAGUAACUAGGACGCUGGGCCAGGCUGGUAGAAAAGUAAGUCAGUGAAGUGGUUUGGGCCACUUUCUACAGUUGUCUAGGACCCUCCAAGUUAUACGAUAGGUGUUCUUCUGUCCUGCCUACCUAAAAUGUACAGUCCCCAUGGAUGCCCCCGAAUCCCUGACCCAGCUGCCCUUCUCCAGGUAUUUCCCAGAAAAGGUCACCGGUGCUGAAGGACAUAAGGUUAAAAAGGGAUGAAGCUUACAAAGAAGGGGCGGGGGAGGGGAGUGAGACUCAGAAGGCUGCACUCCUGCCAGAGCUCGGCUCAGCUUUGUGAAACUAGUCACUACCGCGACUGCCAGAGGGGGGCGCGGGAAGCCGCGGGGAGGAAGAGCAGAG
rnacentral:lncRNA from 1 species